GCGAACCUUCAGUGCUGGCCGGCUUCGGCAAGUGCACGUCGGUGACUUUCAUCCAAUACCCUGUGAACCUUUGGCCUCUUGCUAGCUUCGGCCGGCAGAGGAUUUUACACAAACUCGAAUGUAAUGAAAUUUAUUGUCGUGCGCAAGCACUAAUGUACAACUUUCAACAACGGAUCUCUUGGCUCUCGCAUCGAUGAAGAACGCAGCGAAAUGCGAUAAGUAAUGUGAAUUGCAGAAUUCAGUGAAUCAUCGAAUCUUUGAACGCACCUUGCACCUUUUGGCAUUCCGAAAGGUAUGCUCGUUUGAGUGUCAUUGUACUCUCACACUCCCAAUGCUUUUGGAUUGGGAGUGGUGGACUUGGGUGUUGCUGCUUUACUGUGGCUCGCCUCAAAUGGAGUAGUGCAACUCUCGGUUGGACAUAGUACGGCGUGAUAAGUGUCUUCGCCGGCGCCUCACUAGAGGGUGGCCGAUCAGGAGCUCUGUGCUUCAAACCGUCUUCGGACAAUAUCUGACAACUUGACCUCAAAUCGAG
rnacentral:sRNA from 1 species